AUUGAACGCUGGCGGCAUGCUUUACACAUGCAAGUCGGACGAGUGGCGAACGGGUGAGUAACGCAGCGGAACGUACCGAGUAAAGGGGGAUAACUGUCCGAAAGGACAGCUAAUACCGCAUAUUAUUCGAGCGGCCGAUGUCGGAUUAGCGGGUUGGCGGGUUAAAGGCCCACCAAGGCGACGAUCAGUAGCGGGUCUGAGAGGCUGAGCCGCCACACGGGGACUGAGACACGGCCCAGACUCCUACGGGAGGCAGCAGGGGGGAAUUGUGGGCAAUGGUCGCAAGCCUGAUCCAGCCAUGCCGCGUGUCUGAAGAAGGCCUUCGGGUUGUAAAGGACUUUUGUCAGGGAAGCGGUACCUGAAGAUUAAGCACCUGCUAACUACGUGCCAGCAGCCGCGGUAAUAC
rnacentral:rRNA from 1 species